AUUGAACGCUGGCGGAAUGCCUAACACAUGCAAGUCGAGCGGGGUAGCAAUACCCAGCGGCGGACGGGUGAGGAAUACAUAGGAAUUUGCCUUUAGGUGGGGGAUAGCUUGGGGAAACUCAAGGUAAUACCGCAUGAUCUCGCAAGAGCAAAGUGGGGGACCGCAAGGCCUCACGCCUUCAGAGAAGCAUAUGUCUGAUGAGCUUGUUGGGGAGGUAACGGCUCACCAAGGCGACGAUGAGUAACUGGUCUGAGAGGACGAUCAGUCACACCGGAACUGAGACACGGUCCGGACUCCUACGGGAGGAAGCAGUGGGGAAUAUUGGACAAGGGGCGCAAGCCUGAUCCAGCAAUUCCGCGUGUGUGAAGAAGGCCUUCGGGUUGUAAAGCACUUUAGAUUGGGAAGAAAGAGCUUCGGCGAAUAUCCGGAGUGUUGACGGUACCAACAGAAUAAGCACCGGCUAACUCUGUGCCAGCCGCCGCGGUAA
rnacentral:rRNA from 1 species